UAAGUAAAUUUCUCUCAACCACAGAGACAGUAUUCAAGUCCAUUUGAUUACAUCUUAAAAGUAUAAAUUUACAUAAAUACGGCUGCACAGUUACCUUCUCUUUCUAGAAGCACACAUAAGGAAAUGUUGGAGAAAGUGGGAUUGAAAGAGAGAUUGCAUGCUUCCGUUUACUAGAAGGCAAACUGACAUGGACUGCAGAAUGAGCCCCCAGCUUCACCUGUCCAGCAGGCCCUUGGCAGAAUUGUGCAAGCUUACAGACUUACUGGCAAUCCCCAUAGAUAGCUGCAAGCCGUCCUUUCUCUGAGCUACAGAAGCGUCCUCUUCAGAGGGCUCCAGGGUAAGGAUUAAGCACUAUAAAUUAUAGAAAUGGUUGGCUCUGGGGUAACUCUGAGGGGUAAAAGAAGAAGCCAGCUCUCUGUGGGUGAAGCUUAUCCCCUGGUCCUCCACAGAUCUGAGAAAGAG
rnacentral:lncRNA from 1 species